UGUCUUUUGAGUACCUUCGUUUCCUCGGCGGGUCCGCCCGCCGAUUGGACAACAUUCAAACCCUUUGCAGUUGCAAUCAGCGUCUGAAAAAACAUAAUAGUUACAACUUUCAACAACGGAUCUCUUGGUUCUGGCAUCGAUGAAGAACGCAGCGAAAUGCGAUAAGUAGUGUGAAUUGCAGAAUUCAGUGAAUCAUCGAAUCUUUGAACGCACAUUGCGCCCCUUGGUAUUCCAUGGGGCAUGCCUGUUCGAGCGUCAUUUGUACCUUCAAGCUCUGCUUGGUGUUGGGUGUUUGUCUCGCCUCUGCGUGUAGACUCGCCUCAAAACAAUUGGCAGCCGGCGUAUUGAUUUCGGAGCGCAGUACAUCUCGCGCUUUGCACUCAUAACGACGACGUCCAAAAGUACAUUUUUACACUCUUGACCUCGGAUCAGGUAGGGAUACCCGCUGAACUUAAGCAUAUCAAUAAGCGG
rnacentral:rRNA from 1 species